rnacentral:ncRNA from 1 species
UCACGCACAGGGCAAACUAUUUGAAAAAAUAGGACGCAAAGCCUCCGGCCUAAACCAUUUGGUAGGUAGCGGGGUUACCGAU